rnacentral:rRNA from 1 species
CAUUAUACAGCGAAACUGCGAAUGGCUCAUUAUAUAAGUUAUCGUUUAUUUGAUAGUACCUUACUACUUGGAUAACCGUGGUAAUUCUAGAGCUAAUACAUGCUAAAAAUCCCGACUUCGGAAGGGAUGUAUUUAUUAUAUUAAAAACCAAUGCCCUUCGGGGCUCACUGGUGAUUCAUAAUAACUUCUCGAAUCGCAUGGCCUUGCGCCGGCGAUGGUUCAUUCAAAUUUCUUCCCUAUCAACUUUCGAUGCUAGAGUAGUGUUCUAGCAUGGUUACAACGGGUAACGGAGGGUUAGGGCUCGACCCCGGAGAAGGAGCCUGAGAAACGGCUACUACAUCCAAGGAAGGCAGCAGGCGCGCAAAUUACCCAAUCCCGACACGGGGAGGUAGUGACGAUAAAUACUGAUACAGGGCUCUUUUGGGUCUUGUAAUUGGAAUGAGUACAAUUUAAAUCCCUUAACGAGGAACAAUUGGAGGGCAAGUCUGGUGCCAGCAGCCGCGGUAAUUCCAGCUCCAAUAGCGUAUAUUAAAGUUGUUGUGGUUAAAAAGCUCGUAGUAGAACCUUGGGCCUGGCUGGCCGGUCCGCCUCACCGCGUGCACUGGUCCGGCCGGGCCUUUCCCUCUGUGGAACCGCAUGCCCUUCACUGGGUGUGCCGGGGAAACAGGACUUUUACUUUGAAAAAAUUAGAGUGCUCCACGCAGGCCUAUGCUCGAAUACAUUAGCAUGGAAUAAUAGAAUAAGACGUGUGGUUCUAUUUUGUUGGUUUCUAAGACCGCCGUAAUGAUUAAUAGGGACAGUCGGGGGCAUCAGUAUUCAAUUGUCAGAGGUGAAAUUCUUGGAUUUAGUGUAGACUAACUACUGCGAAAGCAUUUGCCGAGGAUGUUUUCUUUUUAUCAGGAACGAAAGUUAGGGGAUCGAAGACGAACAGAUAACGUCAUACUCAUACACAUAAACUAUGCCGACUAGGGAU